rnacentral:rRNA from 1 species
AGUGCCGCGUGUGUGAAGAAGGCCUUUUGGUUGUAAAGCACUUUAAGCGAGGAGGAGGCUACCUAGAUUAAUACUCUGGGAUAGUGGACGUUACUCGCAGAAUAAGCACCGGCUAACUCUGUGCCAGCAGCCGCGGUAAUACAGAGGGUGCGAGCGUUAAUCGGAUUUACUGGGCGUAAAGCGUGCGUAGGCGGCUGAUUAAGUCGGAUGUGAAAUCCCUGAGCUUAACUUAGGAAUUGCAUUCGAUACUGGUCAGCUAGAGUAUGGGAGAGGAUGGUAGAAUUCCAGGUGUAGCGGUGAAAUGCGUAGAGAUCUGGAGGAAUACCGAUGGCGAAGGCAGCCAUCUGGCCUAAUACUGACGCUGAGGUACGAAAGCAUGGGGAGCAAACAGGAUUAGAUACCCUGGUAGUCCAUGCCGUAAACGAUGUCUACUAGCCGUUGGGGUCUUUGAGGCUUUAGUGGCGCAGCUAACGCGAUAAGUAGACCGCCUGGGGAGUACGGUCGCAAGACUAAAACUCAAAUGAAUUGACGGA